rnacentral:rRNA from 1 species
UGGGGAAUAUUGCACAAUGGGGGAAACCCUGAUGCAGCGACGCCGCGUGAGCGAAGAAGGUUUUCGAAUCGUAAAGCUCUGUCCUAUGGGAAGAUAAUGACGGUACCAUAGGAGGAAGCCCCGGCUAACUACGUGCCAGCAGCCGCGGUAAUACGUAGGGGGCAAGCGUUGUCCGGAAUUACUGGGCGUAAAGCGCACGUAGGCUGCUUUGUAAGUCAGGGGUGAAAUCCCACGGCUCAACCGUGGAACUGCCUUUGAUACUGCUUAGCUUGAAUCCGGGAGAGGGUGGCGGAAUUCCAGGUGUAGGAGUGAAAUCCGUAGAUAUCUGGAGGAACAUCAGUGGCGAAGGCGGCCACCUGGACCGGUAUUGACGCUGAGGUGCGAAAGCGUGGGGAGCAAACAGG